ACUGUUCAUCAUAACAUAAAUAUUUUGCUUAUGAUACUGGGUUUAGUUUCCUUGCCUUUGUGUUUGCAUUAAAUCUAUUGGUUAUUGUAUAAUUCAUAUGGAAUUACUAUACUGUGUAGUACUUGUUUGGGUUUGGGAAUUGUAGAGGUGCAACAUGAUAAAAUGUAGGGCUCGAGUUAAGCCUGAAGGCAAUGGUUAUAAGUUGCGGCUGGAAUGAAAAGUUUUUUUUUUACUCACUGUGACCACCAGUGUGACCACAUCAGCCACAUUUUCCCCACAAUGAGAAACAAACCUAGUACAUACGAUUCAUUUUGAAGGCCCAAAUUGAAGCCAGGCUUUUUGCCUCAGCAUGUCAUAGCUUGCAACCUACAUCAGGCUAUGUAGCCUGUUUUGCCACUUCUCAGAGUGGUGAACCUUGAAAAGUAGAAAAAACCGAAAGAAAGGUUUGAGAGUGUUUAUAUGUUCGGUGCAUUUUUGUUUAUUUUGAGAUUGAAUGAAUACUGUCUUCUUUGUGUAUCUAUUUGGUUAAUGGAUGGGAUUAUGCAACUUUACGUACUGAGUUGUUGUUGUUCCAUGCUUUCCAUGUAUGAAUUUGGAAAUUGGUUGUGCAUAUUGUCAUGGUGGGCACACGUUAAAAGCCAGUUGUCCUGUAUUUAUGGAGGAGGAUAGGAAUGUAAUUAACAUAGAAAGAAAGAUUUGACCAAUGUUCAAUCUCUCCAUUGAUAUUAAACGGAGUCAAGGAUGCUGGAUAUGAGAAAAUGACAGUUGUGCAAGAGGCUACUCUUCCAGUAAUUCUCAAAGGUAAGGAUGUCCUUGCCAAGGCCAAGACAGGCAAAGGAAAAACAAUAGCCUUUAUCAUUGGAAUGUUUCUUCAUAUUCCUUUAUGGGUGACAAUUAAUGUAAGGUAUAGUUGGUACCUAAGCUAACUUUAAAUAAGCAAACUACUGGGUUGGAUCACUCUGCUUCAUUCCAUGGGCUUCAGAUUCAAAGUUGGAUAUUUUAUCAUCACUACUAGAAAUCACAGUUUUUACAUCGGUUGAAAACGACAUUUUACAUCGUUUUUGGACCAUUUUUGAAUAUGAUGUUGUUGAAACUUAAAAGUUUCGACAUCGUUCCUCAA